UGGGGAAUUUUGGGCAAUGGGCGAAAGCCUGACCCAGCAACGCCGCGUGAAGGAUGAAGGUCUUAGGAUUGUAAAAUUCUUUCACCGGGGACGAUAAUGACGGUACCCGGAGAAGAAGCCCCGGCUAACUUCGUGCCAGCAGCCGCGGUAAUACGAAGGGGGCUAGCGUUGCUCGGAAUUACUGGGCGUAAAGGGAGCGUAGGCGGAUAGUUCAGUCAGAGGUGAAAGCCCAGGGCUCAACCUUGGAACUGCCUUUGAUACUGGCUAUCUUGAGUUUGGGAGAGGUAUGUGGAACUCCGAGUGUAGAGGUGAAAUUCGUAGAUAUUCGGAAGAACACCAGUGGCGAAGGCGACAUACUGGCCCAAUACUGACGCUGAGGCUCGAAAGCGUGGGGAGCAAACAGGAUUAGAUACCCCAGUAGUCCCUGAGCGGGCUGGCAAGGCGCAU
rnacentral:rRNA from 1 species